rnacentral:RNase_P_RNA from 1 species
GCUGGGCAGAAAUGCCGAGAGGAAAGUCCGGGCAGCACGAGCCACCAUGCUUCCUAACGGGAAGAGACUGUGAGGGUAACCGAGCAGCCAUAGAGAGCGCCACAGAGAAUAUACCGCCUUUUGCAAGGGUGCUACCGCAAGGUUGGCCACCCUGCAAAAGGCAAGGGUGAAAACGCGGGGUAAGAGCCCACGACGUGCGCCGGUGACGGCCACGAUGGCAAGCCUCAUGGGCUGAAAGACCAAAUAUACCGACAAGCCUUCGGGCAACGGGCUGGCUCGCCUGUAUUGUCGGGGGGUGGGUUGAUAGAGGUCGUCGGCGACGGCGGCAGUAGAUUGAUGAUAGAACACGACAGAACCCGGCUUAUAGGUCC